rnacentral:lncRNA from 1 species
UUUAUGCUCACUGUAUAAGGGAAACAAGGUACCUUAUCAGAAGUCCUGCUGUAGCUAUGAGACCACCAUAAUUCAAGGAUCUCCAAGCUAGCUACCUAUAUGGAGAGGUCUCAGAGAGCAGGACAUAGAGUCACGAUUGAGGAAUCUCACACGUGAGCUGAAGAAGCCACGGUGGGUGUCCCAAGCCCAGCAGACACCUCGAGGGAUAGGGAAGAGCUGUCCCUGCUGACCUCUUCCUAAAUCACAGGACGAUAGAGCACAUGAUUCACUGACGUCGUAAGCCACAAAGACAGCAGGUACAUAGAACAACUAAAAUAGAUCCUUACUAGACAGAGGUGAAAAUAGAAACUUAGAAGGUCAUAUGACCAGUGAGGACAGGAGCCCGGGGUUCAAGAUCACAAGUCUAAGCACUCGUCCCAAAUUCACAGGACUUCCCUGUCUAGGAGAAGAGUAAAGACAGAGGUAGACUUCCUGGUGGGUGGAGACUACCCCAACUAGACCCUACCCCAACUCUGCCCUUCUCUAUACCCACCAAAAAAUAAACAUACGGACUCCUAUAGUGGAGCUAGUCUCCCCCUUGUCACUCCCUCACAUGCUGAGCCUUGUGAUUCUUAAGGUGGCAUCAGUUCCUCUAUAGAAGUCACUGAAUUCCCUAGGAGUAUUAUUCCCUGGUGUGUCUUAUGUCCCCAAAGCACUGGGUAUAGCUCCUGGAACAUGGUGAGUUCUUAUAUAUAGAUAUAAGAUAUAUCAAUAUAGAUACAUUGAUAUAGAUGUAAAAACAUACUAACAUACACAUAUGGUCCAACAAUGCUCUUUGGUUAGAAUGAUGGGGGAGAUGCCAUGCUACCGUAACAGAGCUUCAGUCCAAUCCAGACCAGAAGGUGGAGCUUAAUUUAGUCAUCUUAGGAGCUGUGUGAGGUUGAGUCCAGGAUGCCUGAGAAUACCUAAAUUUAUAGACAUAAGUCUUUUACAGAAAUAGCUAUCACAUGUGCAUAUGCCCUGUACAUUCCUCCUGCAUAUUUCCUUAAAUCUCAUGACAUUUCUAUAGAUGACUCGCAUGUGAUACAAUGUGCAGCCCACUAUAGAGGUGAUUAGGUUGCUGUUUAGGGAACACUGGUAAGAAAUAUAGGCUGCACACAUGCAGAGCAGGUGCAGUGUUGUUCCUGAAGGUUGAUUGAAUCCACAGAUGGAGAAACCAUGGAUACAGGGGCUGACUAUAAUUAUUUUAAUUACUAAUAAUUAGUAGUUGCAAGGCACCUGCUUGCAAACCACAGUGGGCCUGAGCUUACUAGGCAUCUGGGGCAGGGCUCCAGAGGCAGAGCUUGAGACAAGGAUCUUGGAACUUAUAAACAGUUCCAGGAUUACUCUCAGGAAAAGGAGGAUUGACUGAGAAAAAGACGACAGGGCAGGGAAGACGCUAAGCAGGGAGGUAGCCUCCUUGAAAACUGGCCACCGUCCAAUACCGUGGAAAUCACUGUACAGCUGUUCCCACUUUGAAGCUAGUAGACUGGGCUUUCAAAACCAUCAGCCUGCCACUGUCUGGGUCAAGGGCACGGCCUGCCUUCUUGGAUCAGGAGUCUUCUGUUUGGCUGAUAGCAAGUCUCUGAAGAAGCAGGGCAUCUGAGAAGGAACAGCUGUGAGUGUUAGCAGCCAACAUUCCGAGCAGAGGCAGGUAAGGGCUAUUUCCACAGGGCCCUGCCGUGUCCAGGGCAGUUGUUAAGUAUGAGUCAGUAUCUGAUCAGAGUUUAGAAGAUACUUCAGGUGCCCAAACCGCAUCCUGUAAGAAGGAAGCCCUUUGCAGGCUAUGAACUAUGAGACAUCAAACUGACAGUUGAGAGUUAAACAUAAAAACCACCAGGGCCUUUCUUGGCACACUCACCAGAGCCCGUAAAGAUUCCGUCUCAGCCUGGAGACUCUGGACUUGGCGUGAAGUGUCGUGUAACUCUACACUGAGGGCAGCAGCCAGCUUUUCUUCUUGGGUCUGGGAUACGUGGACCACCUCUGUCUGUUGCUGUGGAGAGUCAGGUCUUGGGGUGAGCUGGGAUGAGUUGUAAACCUGAACCCACCUUCUUCCUUAGUUCCUUCUAAACGAACUCUCUGCCAGACUAAAAAAAUACCUUCCCCUCCACCCUUUUUAUAAACCUGCUAACCAAUUUGUAUACAAAAAACUGUUUUGAAUCUUUGAUGCCUAAAAAUAGAAUAACAU